rnacentral:rRNA from 1 species
UGGGGAAUAUUGCACAAUGGGCGCAAGCCUGAUGCAGCGACGCCGCGUGAGGGAUGACGGCCUUCGGGUUGUAAACCUCUUUCAAAUAGGGACGAANCGCAAGUGGCGGUACCUAUAGAAGAAGGACCGGCCAACUACGUGCCAGCAGCCGCGGUAAUACGUAGGGUCCGAGCGUUGUCCGGAAAUUUACUGGGCGUAAAGAGCUCGUAGGUGGUUUGUCGCGUUGUUCGUGAAAACUCACAGCUUAACUGUGGGCGUGCGGGCGAAUACGGGCAGACUAGAGUACUGCAGGGGAGACUGGAAUUCCUGGUGUAGCGGUGGAAUGCGCAGAUAUCAGGAGGAACACCGGUGGCGAAGGCGGGUCUCUGGGCAGUAACUGACGCUGAGGAGCGAAAGCGUGGGGAGCGAACAGGAUUAGAUACCCUGGUAGUCCACGCCGUAAACGGUGGGUACUAGGUGUGGGUUUCCUUCCUUGGGAUCCGUGCCGUAGCUAACGCAUUAAGUACCCCGCCUGGGGAGUACGGCCGCAAGGCU